GUUUGAAUGAUGACUUGGAUUGUCGGAUACCCCUACACCCGCCUCAUGGGUGAGACGAAAUAGUCUGACAAAC
ensembl:snoRNA Gm23130 small nucleolar RNA SNORD101